rnacentral:rRNA from 1 species
GUCGAGAAUCUUUCACAAUGGGGGCAACCCUGAUGGAGCGACGCCGCGUGGAGGAUAAGGUCUUCGGAUUGUAAACUCCUGUCAUGCGUGAACAAGGUUGCUUGGUUAAUACCUGGGCAAAUUGAUGGUAACGCAAGAGGAAGAGACGGCUAACUCUGUGCCAGCAGCCGCGGUAAUACAGAGGUCUCAAGCGUUGUUCGGAAUCACUGGGCGUAAAGGGUGCGUAGGUGGCGUGGUAAGUCAGAUGUGAAAGCCCGGGGCUCAACCUCGGAACUGCAUCCGGUACUGCCAUGCUAGAGUACUGGAGAGGUGACUAGAAUUCUCGGUGUAGCAGUGAAAUGCGUAGAUAUCGAGAGGAAUACCAAAGGCGUAGGCAGGUCACUGGACAGUUACUGACACUGAGGCACGAAGGCCAGGGGAGCGAACGGGAUUAGAAACCCGUGUAGUCC